rnacentral:rRNA from 1 species
UACGUAGGGGGCUAGCGUUGUCCGGAAUCAUUGGGCGUAAAGAGCGUGUAGGCGGCUCGGUAAGUCCGCUGUAAAAGUCAAAGGCUCAACCUUUGAAUGUCAGUGGAUACUGCCGGGCUAGAGUCCGGAAGAGGCGAGUGGAACUCCUGGUGUAGCGGUGGAAUGCGCAGAUACCAGGAAGAACACCAACGGCGAAGGCAGCUCGCUGGGACGGUACUGACGCUGAGACGCGAAAGCGUGGGGAGCGAACAGG